AAGAUUGCUUGCCCCAACUUCACAGCAAGUCCUUGAUCACACACAGGCGGGAGUUUUUGUCUGCUGGGUUUGGACCGGCAAGCGGAGACCUGGGACCGUGGGAACAGUGAUGUGGAGUGAAUGCCUGUUUCCUUGGGUGUGAAGACCAUGCCUUGCUACUCUGAGGUUCGGCACUGGGGAAGCAAGAGCUGCUGCCCAUGAGCACUCUCUGCUUUGGGAGAAGUCCUCCGUGUGUCCCCAGUGAGACCUCAGGAAACCUUCAAUCAAGUGAGGUAUUAUUUGCCUCAUAGCUGGAUCUUCCUUAUCCUUAAACUCCAUUAUGGCGAUCUCGGUGACAGCAACAGCAUUUUGGGAUUUUUAACAAGAAGGGCGAAAGGAUAACACCGGGAAAUCGUCACUUUAAGUGUAGGGUGUGGCUCCUCCUCUUUCUUCUUCGCGUCAUUGACAUCCUGCUUUCUCUGCACCUCUGCCUGAACUGCGUCCUGAACUUGGCCGUCAUUACAGAGUGGUGACCAGGAGGGAGCAAGACUCUCUGGUCCACAUCUUGUUUAGGGAGACCAGUUUUGCUCCUAUGUGGGGCAAUGGGCUAUGCACAGACAGCCUGGUCUCCAGUCGAGCUGAGAUCUUGAAUUCCGGACAGUAGGCAUUUGACCAUGUCUCCUAGACCCCUGGCUCCUGUCGAAGUUACCGCUCCCACAGCCCCCACAGGAGAGGCAAGUGGCUUUUAGUCACAUAGACAAUGUCCCAAGUUUCUGACCUUCUGGAUAGACUCCUCCCUACAGUUACCUAGCAACAGCAAGAUAACACAGCCCACUAUAAGAGGGACUGUUUGGCCCCUCCUAGCUCUCUAAGCUUUUACCUCUCCCUCUUAAGCUCUCUUUAAUCUUUCUUACUCUGUAGCUCAUUCUCUCUUUCCCUUCCCUUGCUCACUCCACGUGGCCAUGACCAGUCUCUCUCUCCUUUACCUUCUCUCUUUCCCCUGCCUUUC
rnacentral:lncRNA from 1 species